GCGAGUGAAGCGGGAAGAGCACAAAUUUAAAAUCUACCUGGUUUUCAGGUCGAGUUGUAAUUUGAAGAUACGUUUUUGACGUUCUGGGUUGGACUAAAUCCUUUGGGAUAAGGUAUCAUAGAGGGUGAGAAUCCCGUAUAUACCAACCGUAGGGAUGUUAUUAAAUACGUUUCUAAGAGUCGAGUUGUUUGGGAAUGCAGCUCUAAAUGGGUGGUAAAUUUCACCUAAUGCUAAAUAUAAGCGAGAGACCGAUAGCGAACAAGUACAGUGAUGGAAAGAUGAAAAGAACUUUGAAAAGAGAGUUAAAUAGUACGUGAAAUUGUUGAAAGGGAAACGAUUGAAGUCAGUCAUGCCGACGGGAAUCAACUUAGGGGAAACUCUGGGUGCACUUCUUCGUUUGGCAGGUUAGUAUCGAUUUUGGAUGUCAUAAAAUAAUUGGGGGAAGGUAGCUCCUUCGGGAGUGUUAUAGCCCUUGAUAGAUGUGAUGUUUGAGGUCGAGGAUUGCAACGGAUACCCUUCGGGGCUAACCGCCUGAUCUCUAAUUGGUGUUGGGUUACGGACAGCAUGCUGACCGUGAUCUAAUUACUGGUUAAAAGGUUAGAGCGUGUAUAAAUUCGCUAAGGAUGC
rnacentral:rRNA from 1 species